rnacentral:rRNA from 1 species
AGAGUUCGAUCGUGGCUCAGGAUGAGCGCUAGCGGCGCGCUUAAUGCAUGCAAGUCGAGCGAUGAGUUCCGCAAGGGACAUCAGCGGCAGACGGGUGAGUAACACGUAGGUGACCUACCCUCAAGACGGGGAUAACGGAUGGAAACACUCGCUAAUACCCGAUGACUAUCGGCGGUCGAAGGCGGAUAGAAAGCCACGGUGCUUGAGGCGGGGCCUGCGGCCCAUCAGCUGGUUGGUAGGGUAACGGCCUACCAAGGCGGGGACGGGUAGGGGGUGUGAGAGCACGACCCCCCACAAUGGGACUGCGACACGGCCCAUACUCCUACGGGAGGCAGCAGCAGGGAAUAUUGCACAAUGGGCGGAAGCCUGAUGCAGCGACGCCGCGUGGAUGAUGAAGGCCUUCGGGUUGUAAAAUUCUUUUCGGGGGGAAGAGGAUGGACGGUACCCCCGGAAUAAGCGUCGGCUAACUACGUGCCAGCAGCCGCGGUAAGACGUAGGACGCGAGCGUUAUCCGGAUUUACUGGGCGUAAAGCGUCUGUAGGCGGGGGUGUAUGUUGGGCGUGAAAGCUCUAGGCUCAACCUGGAGAGGUCGUUCAAUACUGCAGCUCUAGAGGGGGACAGAGGGGCGUGGAAUUUCCGGUGUAGCAGUAAAAUGCGUAGAUAUCGGAAGGAACACCCGUGGCGAAGGCGGCGCCCUGGGUCCUACCUGACGCUGAGAGACGAAAGCUAGGGGAGCAAACAGGAUUAGAGACCCUGGUAGUCCUAGCCCUAAACGCUGAAUGCUAGGUGUGGGUGCGGACUGCAUCCGUGCCGUAGCUAACGCGCUAAGCAUUCCGCCUGGGGAGUACGGCCGCAAGGUUAAAACUCAAACGAAUUGACGGGACCCUGCGCAAGCAGCGGAGCGUGUGGUUUAAUUCGAUUUACACGAAGAACCUUACCUGGGCUUGACAUAGUGGUGGUAGUGAAGCGAAAGCCGAACGACCCUUCGGGGAGCCAUUACAGGUGCUGCAUGGCUGUCGUCAGCUCGUGCCGUGAGGUGUCGGGUUAAGUCCCGUAACGAGCGCAACCCUUGCCCCUAGUUACAGGUGUCUAGGGGGACUGCCGGCGGGAAGCCGGAGGAAGGUGGGGAUGACGUCAAGUCAGCAUGGCCUUUAUGUCCAGGGCUACACACACGCUACAAUGGUCGGUACAAUGGGCAGCCAAACCGCGAGGUGGAGCGAAUCCCAAAAAGCCGAUCGUAGUUCGGAUAGCAGGCUGCAACCCGCCUGCUUGAAGCUGGAGUUGCUAGUAACCGCGCGUCAGCUAUAGUGCGGUGGAUACGUUCCCAGGGUUUGUACACACCGCCCGUCACGUCAUGGGAGUCGGUAACGCCUGAAGGCGGUAGCCUAGCCCGCAAGGGGGGGCAUCGUCAAGGGUGGGACUGGCGACUGGGACGAAGUCGUAACAAGGUA